UACGUAGGGGGCAAGCGUUGUCCGGAAUCAUUGGGCGUAAAGAGCGUGUAGGCGGCCCGAUAAGUCCGCCGUGAAAGCCCAGGGCUCAACCCUGGGAUGCCGGUGGAUACUGUCGGGCUAGAAUCCGGAAGAGGCGAGUGGAAUUCCUGGUGUAGCGGUGAAAUGCGCAGAUAUCAGGAGGAACACCGGUGGCGAAGGCGGGUCUCUGGGCAGUAACUGACGCUGAGGAGCGAAAGCGUGGGGAGCGAACAGG
rnacentral:rRNA from 1 species